GAGAAAUUUGAUUGGAUUUGAUGCGAUUUGUUGCGCUUCGUCAUCUGGUCGUUGGGAGGAUUGGUUCUGCCAAUCGGUUCCCAACGGACUCGUUCCCUUGAAGCUACAUAAUUCCGUUGUAUCUUGGGCCGGCUCUUUACCGUGUGCCUUCAAUUAUUCCCCAUGAACAGGGGCACCCCACGGCUCUUACAUACAUGGCUCUGUUAGAAUGCUGUUUUGUGCUAUUGAUUAUUCUUGUCUUUCACAUGAUGGCUGUUUAGAUUUUGAAAUGAUGUCUGUGAUAACAGUGACGAAUCCUUACAUAGUUACAGAUCUGUGAUGAUUGUUGCAAGAAGAUCGCAUCAUUCAAAGCACAUCUAAGCUGAGCUGUCAUCGUUUCAGAAUUUUUUUUCUGAUAGGUUUACUGUCUGGUGACGUUCUCCUUUUUUUUCUAAUGCUUAGAUUAUAGAACUUAGAAGUGAUGUUUAUUUGGUAACAUUAGAUUUGAAGUGAAGUGUCUUUGAUAAUAUUUGGUAACAGUGAUGACUCCUUGCACAGUUACAGACCUGUGAUGAUUCUUGCGGACAUGAUCGCAUGAUUCAAAGAACAUCUAAGGGACUGAGUUAUCAAUUGCCAUGAAUGUUGUGCUCUAUUUUCUUUAUGACAGGCUUAUUUGCUGCUACCGCCGUUGGUUCAGUUUUGUUUGUUUGUGCCGCUUCACUUGGUUCAUGCCCAUGAGCUGUUUUUGGCUCACGAGCUUUGGAAAGGUGAAGCAAAAGUCUCAGUGGUUCCUCUCGCUAUCCAGGGCAGAAUUUUUUGUUUGAUGCUGCUGGACGUCGAGGAACUAUAUUCUACUAGCUUAUAUAUCCUAAUAAAUGUACUUGCUGUGCUAGUUAAGUUUUUUGGGUUGGAACUUCUGAGGUGAAUGAAUUGAUUGUUUGUCUGAUGAUAUUUUGCAGCCGUGCAGUCCAGAGGUUUGCUGUGAAGACCAACAAGACUCUUGAGAGCCUAUCGUCUAAAGGUAGAUUUUUCUGUUGGUAAAAUCGUUAACAGUUUUGCUGAAUUCUACUCUUUUGUGUUUUAUUACUUGGACAUAUGUAUAUCUGAACAUCAAUUGAGUAAUUGAGUACCUAAUUUGCCACCAUGCUAGAACAGUGUAUCAGAUUUCUAGUUUUGGGGGCUUUUGUCAGUUUGUCAAUAUAUUCAUCUAAUCUAAUGAUGACCGAGUUCUCCCCUUUUCAGCCAAGGAAAUGAGGGAGGAGUUAUCGGAACAAUUCAAGGAUGCUCGUGGCCAGAAAGAUGUAUAGAAACAAUUUUGUCUUCUGUUAUUCUUUUGUCCUAGUGUAGUUCCAAAUGUCUUGGUUGGUUGGUAGUUUCAGUGCUAGAUAUCUCACCAUCUGAGAUCUCUGUUUUGCAGCACUUCAAGCAGUGAAGCCGAUCCCCAAAGUUGAUUCAACGACACGAAUCUAGCUAUGAGUUUUUUCUAGUUCUCGUCCGGGUCCUAUUUAUGAAUGGCAUUUGAAGGGAUUUCUUGGUGUCGUUCAAUGGACGGAUCCGUUGUAUAAAGUUUAUCUGCACUUAGAUUAGUAGAUAUAUUGGUAGACACAUCACUUUCUGCUGCCCCUUUUUCAUAAAUACAUAUAUCUCGAUCUCUACUGUAUUAGCAAAACUACCUCAGUUUCUACCGUUUUCGUGCUCUACACAAUUUACGUGUUGUUUGGUUCCGUACCCUCAACAGUAAUGUGAGUUAAUAAUGGAUAAAAAAGACUAAAUCAAACAACACCUUAAAGGAUAAAAAUGCUGAAAUUAUGCGUAAGUAGAGAUUCAACCAUAAUUGUUGACUCUAAAAUUGUAUUUGUAUCUAUCUAGCUAACAUAACAUAUUUACAUAGAUAUAAAGCAACGUACUAGUAUUUUACUAGUCUCUACUAUACUUAAAGCACCAGUUUAACGGUAGUCCUGCGUCUUCUUUUUACAAAAGUCUCUACAUUUCUUUCAAAUCAACUUAGCGUAAAAUGUUAAAAAACAGUACAGGAGUUGGGGUUUAAACCCAGAUGGGAGAUACUAGAUGAAUCUGUCUAACCAGUAGAACACAUGCUCAAGUGUUUAUAAUAUUGAAUAUAAAUUGUGUAUAUAUAUAUAUAUAUAUAUGUUUUUUUGUAAAAUUAAGAAACAAUCAUGUCAGGCUGGGCCAGUACUACGGGCCGAGGCUACGACUCAAGCACCGCACGUUGCUCGUACUGGGUUGGCCCAGACACUAUUAAAUGGGUCGUGUCUUGGGCUGACUUGCCAGACACGACUCAUUUGACCAUCUAUACCUUCGCACGAUAAAGAUGUUCCUCGCCUCAGUUACCACCACCUUGUUUGCCAUUCUACCUUUUCUCUCUCUCCCCUCGUAUCUCCACCUCCGCGCGCACCCCAUUCUCGGCAGAGAGCAUAAGAGCAUGCGUCUACUCCCCGUAUUCCGACUCGCGAAGUGGCUAUUACACGUCCAUGAGUACGUUUUACAUCAUGCGUACAUCGUUUUCGCCGUUGUCGGACGUCCCAUUCGUCUUCCCGGCCUUCGCCUUGUUCUUCCUCCUAAUCUGCUGCCCCCGCCCAUGGUCGUAGCCGCGAGCCGACCGAUGCUCGUCGAUGCGGGAUACGGGGCGAUUCGGUCAUGCUCCUGUCCUUUCUCCGUGCAUGUCGUCGAGGAGGACAUGGUGACGUCUGCCACGCUUAGGUUAUCUUGGCGAUGAGGAGUCUAGGUCUGAGAUAUUGGACAACCAAGGCCCGUAGUGUGGCAGCAGUUGGCAUGUGUUAUAGAGUUGGUGGUUGUGUUGUGUCGCUUCAGUGGGUCCAGGGCUGGGAAGACACUCGCAUUCUCUCGCCCUUCUCAGAUUGACGCUGGUGCGGGUGCCUUUCGGUUUGGAGCUUCUCCGGCUGGACUUCUUUCUCCGAUUGUGUGCUCUCUCCUUAUAUAUCUAGCGGUAUACUACCUAUGUCGCCUCAUAUGCCCACUUCUUCGUCGUGUUCUUCUCCAGCAACGAACAGGUAUAUCCGUCUCUUCCCUUCCCCUCCUGCUCUACGAAACAUUAGAAGUGGGGGAGACAAGGUAUGGGGGUCUCUGAUUUGCUGCCUAUGGUACCCGUGCGUUCAUAAAAAAUAUUAUGCGAAUAGCGAAGACAAAUGAAUAAAAAAUCUUGAGAUCUUUUUGGUAGAUAAUUUACGUGGGUAUUAUUGUGAACCGUCGCAACGUACAGGUAAACGACUAGUAAUCCUUAUAAAUAUGUGUACCUAUAUUUUGUUUUUUCUAAGUGUGAAAUAUAGAACUGGAUAUGGAUUAACUGUCCAUUCCUUUAUAAGGAUUACUAGUGUGUGUAUGUAUGUACAACUCAAGUUUAGCUCUUUCUGUUUAGGUCUUUAGCAACUUCUAAGAGCAUCUACAAAAUACUCUUUAUUUUUAACUCUCUAUUUGACUCUUUAUUUAUCUCUCUAUAAAUAUUAAACUCUAUAUAUAACAUCCCAUUCUAACAGACUCUCCAACGUGUAAGUUAGCUUGGCUAGUGAGAGUUGCUAGCUAAAUUUGGCUAGUGAGAGAGUUAAUUUAGAGAGUCAGAUAGCUUAGCAAGUUAAAUGACUAGUCUGUUGAAGAGCUAUUAUGCUAUUAAGUAGCUAAGGGGGUGUUUGGUUACACCCCGCUAAAAUUUAGCCCCUGUCCCAUCGAAUGUUUGAAUCUCCGUUCCGGGUAUUAAAUGUAGUCGGAUUAUAAAACUAAUUUGUCAGCCGAAGAUUAAAAGACGAGACGAAUCUAGUUCAGUUGGUUGAGUCUAUAUUUCAUACUUUUAUUUAAAAGUCAAACGCUUGAUGUGACCCAGGCUAAACUUUAGCAGGAACAACCAAACACCCUCUAAAAUUUAGCUUGACUAGCUAUUUAGCUAGUCUCUUGGAGAUGCUCUAAGUGACUAAACUUAUUUUGUUUGAUCUUCUCAGAUCCAAAUAGGCCCUCAGAAGGUGACUCAUUAUAAGAAAAUUAUGAGAGUUUCGAGAACAAUAGUAGUAUGACCCGUGCGUAUAACCAGGGGUGCAUCCAAUAGUCAUCUAUUCAAUCAGACCGUAACUCAUCAGAAGAAAAUUAUAAAAGAGACGAUAAGUAAUUAUAGGACUCUGCCACAUAGAUCCUAAAUUUAGAACUCUAUAUGAUGGAGUCCUAGUAUGAUCUAUUUUCUGUUGGAGCUACAAAUAUUUUUAUAACUCUAAACACUUCAAAUGAUGUUCUACUCUUUAGAUUCAGUUCACCCUCUCUUAGGCCGUUCGGUUCUCUAGGUCCCGCACGUCUACGCUUUCUAUUUUUUUUAAAAGGUGAAUCCUUGCUAAAUAUAAUACUUAUUUGGAUAUCAAUUUUUUGAUCUUUUUCUUUGAUUACGGAUACAUAGAAUAUAAAAUUUAUUAUCUAAAUUUAUAUUUUUGUUUUUAGUAUUGAGCUUGUAAGAUUCAUAAAAAUAAGCCUUAAAUUUAUCAUAUAUAUUCUCAUAUGAUAAAUAUAAAAAUUGGAUACAAAUUUGGAUACGGAUACAAAUAUUUUCAUAUUUUUUGUUGUAAGGAGUAAAUAAUGUAUUUGAUAACAUAAGAAAAGAUUAUUAAAUUUCAUACAUAUUUAUUUUAAAAUAUUAAAUUUAUGCUAACAACUUGAUACUCACUUUUCAUCCCUACUACUUGGGUGAAAGGUAACGUAUCAAAUGCACAUGAUUCAUCUGGUGCACAUAUUAAAUUUGAACCCUUUCUCUAACGAUCAACGUCUGAGGUGCGAAUGGUUUUUCACAAAUAUAAGUUGCGCGUCGAUGAGUAAGUGUUGAAGUUUUUUAAUAAAAUAUCUCAAUCUUAAUCAUGGGACGAAGGGUGCAAAUUUAAUUUGUACAUAUGUGCACUAAGGGGAUGUGUGCACAUGAUAUGUUCCCGGACAAUUUUGGCCAGAUUAGGGCAUGGUGUCCGGGUGCGACCAAAUUUGAGGCUGAGCGGUGAGCCACUGCUGGCCAAAUGUAGGCUAGAUGCAAAGAGGAGGAGAGUCAAGGGCAUGACUGAACAGGAAAUGAGGGCACGACUAGAUUGGGCAUGGAGCUAGUGGACAACCAACACGGGUAGGAUGCUGAAGAGGCGAGGGAGCGACUGUAUGCGGCGGU
rnacentral:lncRNA from 1 species